rnacentral:rRNA from 1 species
GGUUUCUGCUCAGGACGAACGCUGGCGGCGUGCUUAACACAUGCAAGUCGAACGCUGAAGCUUGGGUGCUUGCAUCUGGGUGGAUGAGUGGCGAACGGGUGAGUAAUACGUGAGUAACCUGCCCUUGACUCUGGGAUAAGCCUGGGAAACUGGGUCUAAUACUGGAUACUACAUUCUCUCGCAUGGGGGGGUGUGGAAAGGGUUUUACUGGUUUUGGAUGGGCUCACGGCCUAUCAGCUUGUUGGUGGGGUAAUGGCCUACCAAGGCGACGACGGGUAGCCGGCCUGAGAGGGUGACCGGCCACACUGGGACUGAGACACGGCCCAGACUCCUACGGGAGGCAGCAGUGGGGAAUAUUGCACAAUGGGCGAAAGCCUGAUGCAGCGACGCCGCGUGAGGGAUGACGGCCUUCGGGUUGUAAACCUCUUUCAGCACGGAAGAAGCGAAAGUGACGGUACGUGCAGAAGAAGCGCCGGCUAACUACGUGCCAGCAGCCGCGGUAAUACGUAGGGCGCAAGCGUUGUCCGGAAUUAUUGGGCGUAAAGAGCUCGUAGGCGGUUUGUCGCGUCUGCUGUGAAAGCCCGGGGCUUAACCCCGUGGUGUGCAGUGGGUACGGGCAGACUAGAGUGCAGUAGGGGAGACUGGAAUUCCUGGUGUAGCGGUGAAAUGCGCAGAUAUCAGGAGGAACACCGAUGGCGAAGGCAGGUCUCUGGGCUGUUACUGACGCUGAGGAGCGAAAGCAUGGGGAGCGAACAGGAUUAGAUACCCUGGUAGUCCAUGCCGUAAACGUUGGGCACUAGGUGUGGGGGACAUUCCACGUUUUCCGCGCCGUAGCUAACGCAUUAAGUGCCCCGCC